rnacentral:rRNA from 1 species
UACGUAGGGAGCGAGCGUUGUCCGGAAUUACUGGGUGUAAAGGGAGUGUAGGCGGGACAUUAAGUCAGGUGUGAAAUUUAUGGGCUCAACCCAUAACCUGCAUUUGAAACUAAUGUUCUUGAGUGAAGUAGAGGUUGGCGGAAUUCCUAGUGUAGCGGUGAAAUGCGUAGAUAUUAGGAGGAACAUCAGUGGCGAAGGCGGCCAACUGGGCUUUUACUGACGCUGAGGCUCGAAAGCGUGGGGAGCAAACAGG